rnacentral:rRNA from 1 species
UACAGAGGUCUCAAGCGUUGUUCGGAUUCAUUGGGCGUAAAGGGUGUGUAGGUGGCGCCGUAAGUCGGGUGUGAAAUUUCGGAGCUUAACUCCGAAACUGCAUUCGAUACUGCGGUGCUUGAGGACUGGAGAGGAGACUGGAAUUCCUGGUGUAGCGGUGAAAUGCGCAGAUAUCAGGAGGAACACCGGUGGCGAAGGCGGAUCUCUGGGCCUGUCCUGACGCUGAGGCGCGAAAGCUAGGGGAGCGAACAGG